UACGUAGGGGGCUAGCGUUGUCCGGAAUCAUUGGGCGUAAAGCGCGUGUAGGCGGCUUGGCAAGUCCGCUGUGAAAACUCGAGGCUCAACCUCGAGAUGUCGGUGGAAACUGCCUGGCUAGAGUCCGGAAGAGGAGUGUGGAAUUCCUGGUGUAGCGGUGAAAUGCGCAGAUAUCAGGAAGAACACCUAUGGCGAAGGCAGCACUCUGGGACGGUACUGACGCUGAGACGCGAAAGCGUGGGGAGCGAACAGG
rnacentral:rRNA from 1 species